rnacentral:rRNA from 1 species
UACGGAGGAUGCGAGCGUUAUCCGGAUUUACUGGGCGUAAAGGGAGCGUAGGCGGCCUGCCAAGUCUGAUGUGAAAUACCGGGGCUCAACCCCGGGGCUGCAUUGGAAACUGGCAGGCUGGAGUGCCGGAGAGGCAGGCGGAAUUCCUAGUGUAGCGGUGAAAUGCGUAGAUAUUAGGAGGAACACCAGUGGCGAAGGCGGCUCACUGGACUGUAACUGACGUUGAGGCUCGAAAGCAUGGGUAGCGAACAGG